rnacentral:lncRNA from 10 species
GCAAUCAGGCACACCGGCUGCCACCCCAGGCCACUGCACCAACUCCUGGAGGUCGGUGCUGUAGCUGACUUAUCCAAGGAAAGUGAGGCACAGCAAGACUGAGGUCCCAUGGCUUAUAGGUGGCAGCCCUCUGCCUCCCUGAGGCUUGCUCUUGACUUUCCAAAUUUGGCCUUGCUUAUCCCUUGCAUAAUCUAAAAGAGCAGCUUAUUUUUAUAGAAAUAGUGGGUGGCAGACAGCACGGAAAAGUGGAGAGUUCUGCCCUGCCUGAUGCCCCACCCCUGCCCCUUCACCCCACCCUUCCCACAUACCACAUGGUUGUUACUAAGUCGGCUUUGUAACAACCAGGGCAGCCCAGAUGCUCUGGUCCCAUGCCCCACUCUCCAUUCUGUGACCUGCUGUGGAUCCUUUUCCCAGAGCUGUGGGAUGGAAAUCUCCCCCGCAGCCCUCAGCUCCUCCCAAGCCCACUUUAAUAAUUAAAUACCAAAGGAAGGAGGAGGAAAGUGGAGGAGAGCGGGCAGUUCCCGCUCAUCUCAUCAUCUGUGCAGUCUCCCUCCAUUAGCACAGAGAGCGAGGUGGUCCAGGGAGGUGUGGGAAUCCUGGGGCUUUGCGGGGGGAUGGAGGGGAAGAAAGCUUGUUCCCUAGCAAGACUGCAAACACCUGCACCUGAGAAGGGCCACGGGUUGGGGGAGGCCUAGUUCCUGGGGUUCACCUCUGCCCCUCCCGCCUUAGGAUCCAUCAGGGCAGAUGCCUCCUCCUAGAGUCGGACCCAGCCUAUUCCUGACCUCCAGGCCCUGCUACUGCGUGAGGCUGUCCACCCCCUCACCGGCCCUGGCUCUGAGCUGUUGCAGCAGCAUCCAGGCAGGGAGGCCCCUUCCUUCUAGGUCAGCAGCUCCCCACGAGGACUCAGGGCUGGAGUCCUGGGGUGGGGACUCCUAAGGAAGAGAUGAAUUCCCAGGAACUGGGAUGCUCUGGGCCCUGAGGAGGAGCCAGGACCCCAGAUGGACCCCCCACCCAGCUGCCUUCAGGAGAGGGACGUGCUUCUGCCCACUUGUGUAGCUAGGAUGCCCGUGCUGGUGGGAGCUUUCGCCACUGGACGAGGUCCUAGCCCUGCCUCCUGGUGUGUCUGCUCAAGGCCCCACCUGGCUUCUCUGAGUCGCUGGAAAUGACCUGUUGGACAUGGUGGUCUCCAGCUCUGCUCUUCUGGGAUCCUCUGACCAGCGCUGGGGAGGGUGGGACUUGGAGGAUGGCAGAGCUCGUUCUGGGCACUGGGAGGGAGCGGGUGGGGACAUGCAACCUUCAUCACCUAGAGGUCCUGGAACUACGACAUCUGGGCCACAUGAGAUCCCCUCUUUUCCUAGAGCGGUGGUCUUGCUGAGAGGACCUGACCAGGAUUGUUAGAAAGGGGAGCAUGGAGGAGCAGUGGGCUGAGGAGCAGGGGCAGGAGGGCAGUGGAGGUCAGGUUGGCCGGGCAGUGGAUCAUCAGGGACACAGAACUGGGGGGUCAGCCCACUGAGGGCUGGACCACUUCACCAGGGGCAGGCUGAGCAGGCUCCAGGGCCUGCAGUUAGAAGGCCACGUUCCAGGUGGCUGGGUGCGUGAACCUGGUGGUACUGCCCACGCCUCUACUCAUUCCCACCUGGAGCUCGGAGUGCUGCCCGCCUGCCUGCUCCUGGCUCUGCUCUGCAGACGAGGGGCCCAACUCUGUCAGCCACGUUUCCUGACUGGGGGCACCAACACCUCUGCCAUGAUCUCUCUCCAUGGGACCAUGGGGUGAGCAGGCUUGCCUUAAGGCUUGUCUCAAAGGAGCCAGGGUCCUAGGUUGCACACCAGGAACCCAGGAUGGGGCCCUUCUGGGGGCUGACCAGAGGCAAAAGGGCCAGGCAGGAACCCUUCUAGCGUGGCGCUGGCUGGGCUGUCAUCUUGGGAGGGCUCCCAGCCUAUCGCUGGGUUGUAGAGAGAUGUCUGGGCACUGGGAGGCUGGCUCAGGGAUCUCAAGACAGAGAGGGGCAUCCUGAACGGGGGCAACAGGAGGAGAGGCAGCAAUCCACUCCACGGAGCCUCCGGUGGACACAGGCAGGACCAUGGUGGCCGGCCCAGAGCCUGGCAUGGAGGAGGUGAGAGCUGUGGCUCCCAGAGGCCGUGGGGGCCUCCGAGCUGAGAAGGGGCACUGGGAUACGCCGGCACAGGACAGCCUGGCUGACCACGGCUCCCUCUGGCAGGGAGUGGACAAGCCACAGGAGCGGGAACACGGGUGUGUGCAGACCCAGCCCCAGGAGGAGGCCUGAGAGCAGAGGCAAAGAGCAAAGUGUGCGGGAGAGCUGGCGGGGGGUGCCACCCGUCCCGGGACUCUGUGCCCUUGGGCGUCCUCACUGUCGGAAACAGAGACCCAGGGUAGGACUGUGGGCAUGAAGCCUUCCUGGCUGCAAGUUAUAAAAUGUUUAUUGAUAUACAUUUUGUCUUUUAUAAAACUUCCGUUGGCCACAUUGGGCCACUGUGCACCACAGUGCCAGUCCCCAGGCGGCCAAAGGCCCUUCCUGUCUCCAGAG